UACAGAGGGGGCAAGCGUUGUUCGGAAUUACUGGGCGUAAAGGGCGCGUAGGCGGCUUGGCAAGUGGAUGGUGAAAUCCCUCGGCUUAACCGGAGGAACUGCCGUCCAAACUGCUUUGCUUGGAGAGCCGGGGAGAGGUGAGUGGAAUUCCCAGUGUAGCGGUAGAAAUGCGUAGAUAUUGGGAGGAACACCAGUGGCGAAGGCGGCUCACUGGACCGGUACUGACGCUGAUGCGCGAAAGCGUGGGGAGCAAACGGGG
rnacentral:rRNA from 1 species